GACGAACGCUGGCGGCGUGCCUAAUACAUGCAAGUCGAGCGGAAUGAUGAAGAAGCUUGCUUCUUCUGAUUUUAGCGGCGGACGGGUGAGUAACACGUGGGCAACCUACCUUGUAGAUUG
rnacentral:rRNA from 1 species